GGAAAGCCAGGCCCGGGCAAGGGAAAAACCAGGCUGUAAGUUCAUGCUCAAAAUGCCGACCUGGAACAGGAUAGCGCUUUUCUUGGAGGCCUGGGGCUGGAUCCUCCCAAACUGCAGGCCAGCUGGGGUGCGGCUGACUGGAAACUGAGUCGGUGAGAGAAGCAGAAGCAGCUUACAGGGCUCUUUAUCCCGGGCCUCGGGGCCCAGUUCCCUUCCUGACCGCGAAAGACCCAGUGGGAGGGGGGGCUCCGUCUGGCUCUAGUCCCUGUGAGCACAAAGCCUCCUCUGUGCUCCCUGCCACCUCACCCCCUGGCCUCCUCACCUCUUUGGCCUUUGCCUCUCUUGGUCUUGAUCCUCUCCCCAAUCCUGGGUAGCCCUUCUAGACCCUUUCCCCUUUUAGAGAACUAUAUCCUAACUCCAGAAGCCGUGGGAUCGCACCCCUGGCUCCGGAGCCCAGGGAGACAUCAGCAAGAUGCUGCUUUGUUUGUGAAGCCGGAAGGCGCUGAGAGGGGAAGGGUCUUCUUGGAGCUGUCAGACCGAUUUCCAACCCUGCUGAGAACAAACCCAAAGCCCUUCCCCCGGACUGGGAGGCCACGUCCCACCAGAGCUUAUCCGGGUGUCUGUUAGCCUGGUGCACCGGACAGCUCACCUCAACAGCCACUCCAGGUUUCAAGCACAGCUUUCCCAGAGAAGAACACCUAAGAGCUGACCUCUGCACCCCAGGAACUCAAGACCACCAGCAUGUCGCUACCUGGGAGGCUGCAAGAGGAAGGAACUGUUCACCUCUGCAAAAUGUUAAGACUGUGUUCCCAGACUUCCCAGCGUGUGGCUUUCCAUUCUGAGAGUCUCCAGAUGCUGCGCCACGGUGGCCAAGCCGGGCAUUGCGUGGCAUUGGCUUGGGGGUGCCACACGGGGAGAUGUGGAGUCUGUACGGCCCCCUGGCUGCGUGUUGAAAUGGAGGCUUCGUCUGUGUUUCCUCUUCUGUGGAAUAGUUUCACUACUAUAGCUGUGUGAGGGCAACCCUGACUCUACUCUGUGGUGGUUUGAGGAAGAAUGGCCUCAUAGGCUCAUAGAUUGGAGUGCUCAGGGAGUGGCAUUGGGAGGUGUGGUCUUGCUGGAGAAAGUGUGUCA